rnacentral:lncRNA from 1 species
GGAACACUCCAGUUUCUAGGGGCUCUGUCCUCUAGGGCCUUAGUCCUCUAUCCCAUUGCCCACUGUGCAGGAAUGGCGUAGCCAUAUAAUAAGCCUUUCUCUUCUUGGCUGCCAACCUUGUGAUGUUUAUUGUUCAACAGUGGUUGUGCCCUGUGUUCUUUAGUAGGAGGAGAGGUACCAUAUCUACUCUCCAUCCAAGUCACCACCUCUCUCCAAGGGAAAGAUACAGACUCAGCAUAAAGGUGUCCUCCAAGACAGGGCAGUGAUGGAUCUUUAUUAGUAUACAUUUUAAUUUCUUCCCAAGUGU